GGGGAAUAUUGCACAAUGGGCGCAAGCCUGAUGCAGCAACGCCGCGUGAGGGACGACGGCCCUCGGGUUGUAAACCUCUUUUGGCAGGGAAGAAGCGAAAGUGACGGUACCUGCAGAAAAAGCACCGGCUAACUACGUGCCAGCAGCCGCGGUGAUACGUAGGGUGCAAGCGUUGUCCGGAAUUAUUGGGCGUAAAGAGCUCGUAGGCGGUUUGUCGCGUCUGCUGUGAAAACCCGAGGCUCAACCUCGGGCCUGCAGUGGGUACGGGCAAACUAGAGUGCGGUAGGGGAGAUUGGAAUUCCUGGUGUGGCGGUGGAAUGCGCAGAUAUCAGGAGGAACACCGAUGGCGAAGGCAGAUCUCUGGGCCGUAACUGACGCUGAGGAGCGAAAGCAUGGGGAGCGAACA
rnacentral:rRNA from 1 species